CGCCUUGCCAGCCCGCUCAGAAACUUAAAGGAAUUGACGGGGGCCCGCACAAGCGGUGGAGUAUGUGGUUAAUUCGAUGCAACGCGAAGAACCUUACCUGGUCUUGACAUCCCGGAGACCCUUAGGAAACUAGGGGGUGCUUCCAUCUGGAAGAAUCUGGAGACAGGUGCUGCAUGGCUGUCGUCAGCUCGUGUCGUGAGAUGUUGGGUUAAGUCCCGCAACGAGCGCAACCCUUGCCUUUAGUUGCCAGCAGUUCGGCUGGGCACUCUAAAGGGACUGCCGGUGUUAAACCGGAGGAAGGUGGGGAUGACGUCAAGUCCUCAUGGCCUUUAUGACCAGGGCUACACACGUACUACAAUGGCCGAUACAAAGGGCAGCGACACUGCGAGGUGAAGCCAAUCCCGUAAAAUCGGUCUCAGUCCGGAUUGGAGUCUGCAACUCGACUCCAUGAAGUUGGAAUCGCUAGUAAUCGUGGAUCAGCAUGCCACGGUGAAUACGUUCCCGGGCCUU
rnacentral:rRNA from 1 species